UGCGAGACUUUGGUGUGAAUUGCAGGACACAUUGAGCACUUACUUUUCGAACGCACAUUGCGGCCUCGGGUCCUACCCGGGGCCACGUCUGUCUGAGGGUCGGAUUAUGCUUGCAGAAGGAAGUUUCUUCCUGAUUGGUUGUGUCGGAUGCUUCACUGUGUCCGCGGACCCAAGUUGUGCGAGUUYCGAYCCYGGCCGAGAGGUGUCCCACGAUAGGAUGUCCGAGAGCGGGAGUGGCRAAGUGCCUGCCUGCGAGCUUGGACCAGUUGUGGAUGCCUGAGCUGGGAAGCUUGGAUGUGGAGUAAUUCUCCAACUUAUUUUGUCGACCUCAGAUCAGGCGAGACGACCCGCUGAAUUUAAGCAUAUAACUAAGCGGAGGAAAAGAAACCAACCAGGAUUCCC
rnacentral:rRNA from 1 species